rnacentral:rRNA from 1 species
AGGGUUUGAUCCUGGCUCAGAACGAACGCUGGCGGCGUGCCUAACACAUGCAAGUCGAACGAGAAAGCUCUUUCGGGAGUGAGUAGAGUGGCGCACGGGUGAGUAACACGUGGAUAAUCUGCCUGAUAAUCUGGGAUAACACUUCGAAAGGGGUGCUAAUACCGGAUAAGCCCACAUCCUCUUCGGAGGAAGCGGGAAAAGAUGGCCUCUUCUUGAAAGCUAUUGUUAUCAGAUGAGUCUGCGGUCCAUUAGCUAGUUGGUAGGGUAACGGCCUACCAAGGCGACGAUGGAUAGCUGGUUUGAGAGAAUGAUCAGCCACACUGGAACUGAGACACGGUCCAGACUCCUACGGGAGGCAGCAGUGGGGAAUUUUGCGCAAUGGGGGCAACCCUGACGCAGCAACGCCGCGUGAGUGAUGAGGGUUUUCGGAUCGUAAAGCUCUGUCAGGAGGGAAGAAACCUCACCUGGUUAAUACCUUGGUGAAUUGACGGUACCUCCAGAGGAAGCACCGGCUAACUCCGUGCCAGCAGCCGCGGUAAUACGGAGGGUGCAAGCGUUGUUCGGAAUUAUUGGGCGUAAAGCGCGUGUAGGCGGUUUGUU